ACACCCUCAACCCUCCCGGUUUCUUUGGUCGGGAAGGCUUGGACUUUGGAGGUUUUCUUUGCUGGCCUCCCUUUGAAGCCAGCUCCUCCUAAACGAAUUAGUGGGGUCCGCUUUGCCGAUCCUCGACGUUGAUAAGUGUGCUUCUACGUCUUGGGUUUGGCACCGUUGUCCUGGAACCUGCUUCCAACAGUCUUCAAACGAAGACGAUGUUCGAGUCGCUAUGCGACGUCGACCUAAGUGACC
rnacentral:misc_RNA from 1 species